rfam:Salmo salar isolate Sally breed double haploid chromosome ssa02, whole genome shotgun sequence.
UGUGGUCCAGCUCAGUUGUUAGAGCAUGGCGCUUGCAAUGCCAGGAUAGUGGGUUCAAUUCCCGGGAUCACCC